UACGUAGGGUGCGAGCGUUUAAUCGGAAUUACUGGGCGUAAAGCGCGCGCAGGCGGCCCGGUAAGUCGGAUGUGAAAUCCCACGGCUCAACCGUGGAACUGCAUUCGAUACUGUCGGGCUAGAGGCAGGUAGGGGAGAUCGGAAUUCCUGGUGUAGCGGUGAAAUGCGCAGAUAUCAGGAGGAACACCGGUGGCGAAGGCGGAUCUCUGGGCAUUACCUGACGCUGAGGAGCGAAAGUGUGGGGAGCGAACAGG
rnacentral:rRNA from 1 species